CCUACGGGAGGCAGCAGUCGAGAAUCAUUCACAAUGGGGGAAACCCUGAUGGUGCGACGCCGCGUGGGGGAAUGAAGGUCUUCGGAUUGUAAACCCCUGUCAUGUGGGAGCAAAUUAGAAAGAUAGUACCACACGAGGAAGAGACGGCUAACUCUGUGCCAGCAGCCGCGGUAAUACAGAGGUCUCAAGCGUUGUUCGGAAUCACUGGGCGUAAAGCGUGCGUAGGCUGUUUCGUAAGUCGUGUGUGAAAGGCGCGGGCUCAACCCGCGGACGGCACAUGAUACUGCGAGACUAGAGUAAUGGAGGGGGAACCGGAAUUCUCGGUGUAGCAGUGAAAUGCGUAGAUAUCGAGAGGAACACUCGUGGCGAAGGCGGGUUCCUGGACAUUAACUGACGCUGAGGCACGAAGGCCAGGGGAGCGAAAGGGAUUAGAUACCCGAGUAGUC
rnacentral:rRNA from 1 species